ensembl:lncRNA
GGAAAGAUCCCCUGGAGGAGAGCAUGGCAACCCACUCCAGUAUUCUUGCCUGGAGAAUCCCAUGGACUGAGGAGCCUGGUGAGCUAUAGUCUCUAGAGUCCACAGAGUUGGACGUGACUGAAGCGAUUUAGCAUGCAUGCUCCUGUAAAUGAAAUCACCAGGAAUGAUUUUCUGAUGUAGCUCUCUGUAGUUAAUGGAAACAUCAGAGUUGGAUUUGUUUUGAUUCCCUCUAAAGAUACAGUAACCUCAAACAUCCAGGUAAUGCUUUCAUAAUUAAGUAUCUUUUCUGGCACACAAGCGGAUAUAGUGCUCCAGAUCGUCAUCUGUGAGUUUUGGGAAGCGCUGGAGUGUUGCAAAAGUUUCUCUCAACAUAUUUUUAGAGCUCUGCUCACAUCGCCUUUAUUGGCUGGUUCCCAUCUGCUGCUGGAGUGCAGAAGCCAAUGGUUUACACCUGUCGCUGCUGAGGACUUGCCUUGUCUGACCCGAGCCAAGUCAGCUCACCUGGAGAUACCUAGGAUAUUAAGCCAUUAACCCAGGGGCAGCUAAUAAACCCUAGGGCAUAAAAGCCAGGGCUUCUUGCUUCGAGAAGCUGCUGUGGGAUCCCACUUCCAAGCUUUGCCUCUGGAUGGAGCCAAGAUGCUAUGAAGCUGGAUAGACUAUUUCAGGGAAUGCAGAUAGCCUACUGUGUGGUUCACAGCAAACUGGAAAAUUCUUAAAGAGAUGGGAAUAGCAGACCACCUGACCUGCCUCCUGAGAAAUAUGGAGGUCAAGAAGCAACAAUUGGAACUGGACAUGGAAAAACAGAUUGGUUCCAAAUUGGGAAAGGAGUACAUCAAGGUUGUACUUUGUCACCCUGCUUAUUUAACUUAUAUGCAGAGUACAUCAUGUGAAAUGCUGGACUGGAUGAAGAACAAACUGGAAUCAUAAUUUCUGGGAGAAAUAUCAAUAGCUUCAUAUAUGCAGAUGACACACCCUCAUGGCAGAAAGCGAAGAACUAAAGAGCCUGUUGAUAAAAGUGAAAGAGGAGAGUGAAAAAGUUGGCUUAAAAUUCAGUAUUCAGAAAAAACUAAGAUCAUCGCUUCUGGUCCCAUUAUUCAUGGCAAAUAGAUGGGGCAACAGUGACAGACUUUAUUUUCCUGGGCUCCAAAAUCACUGCAGAUGGUGAUUGCAGCCAUGAAAUUAAAAGAUGCUUGCUCCUUGGCAAGAAAGUUGUGACCAACCUAGACAGCAUAUUAAAAUGCAGGGACAUUACUUUGCCAACAAAAGUCCAUCUAGUCAAGCUACGGUUUUUCCAGUAGUCAUGUAUGAAUGUGAGAGUUGGACUAUAAAGAAAGCUGAGUGCCAAAGAAUUGAUGCUUUUGAACUGUGGUGUUGGAGAAGACUCUUGAGAGUCCCUGUACUUCAAGGAGAUCCAACCAGUCCAUCCUAAAAGAAAUCAGUCCUAAAUAUUCAUUGCAAAGACUGAUGCUGAAACUCCAAUACUUUGACCACCUGAUGUGAAGAACUGACUCAUUGGAAAAAACCCUGAUGCUUGGGAAGGAUUAAAGGCAGGAGGAGAAGGGGACGACAGAGGAUGAGCUGGUUGGAUGCCAUCACCGACUCAGUGGACAUGAGUUGGAGAAAGUUCUAGGAGUUGGUGAUGGAUAGGGAAGCCUGGUGUGCUGCCGUCCAUGGGGUUGCAAAGAAUUGGACACGACUGAGGGACUGAACUGAACUGAAAGCUAAAAAUUAGAACAAAAAUCUUCCAAUCAAUUUUUAGAGACUAUAUGAGUAAUAUAGAAAUAAUGAAAAAAUAGUAAAUCAUUUUCUAUACUUUGUGUAACUUUUAAAAUUCAUAUAUUUGUAAUAUAUUAGUUGUAUUUAUAAUAUUAAGUGAAAACC